CAUAAAGAUGCUAUAAGAAUAAAAUUUAUAAUACAUAAAUUGCAAAGGGUUAAAAUUUGGUAAUGUAUUAAUUUAAUGCGUACUAUAAAAGGGCUACUCCGGGAAUCGAACCCGGGACCUCUCCCACCCUAAGAGAGAAUCAUACCACUAGACUAAGUAGCCGUAUGGAUACAUUUCAAUUUAAUAUUCGUAUAUUUUAGUAAUUGUCAAAAUAUUUACUUUUAAAAAAUAUUCUAUCAUAAAGGAUGAAUGUUUUUAUAUAAUACGUGUGUAUUUUGCAGCAUUUAAUAUUUUUUUAUUAAUAAAUGUUUUAAUUAAAUGUGUAAAGAAGCAAUUUUUUUUUUUUUUUUUAUCAUUUGUGUCAGUGAAAAUCAUAGUAUAGGAAUUUAAAUAUAUAUAUGGAGGUAGGCUUUCAUCAUAA
rnacentral:tRNA from 1 species